UUGUGAAGGAAAGAGAGACUCAGCUCGAGAAUGAGCACGUGUUAAACGUUUUUCACAUUCUCCUUAUGCUCAGUCCAUCAUCACCUAAUAUCAUCCUCCUCCACCGCGUCGGGGCUCACCACUGGUGGUGGUGGAACAUCAAACAUCAAAACCAGAUACACCAAUUCAAUCCAUUUUUCAUGCGCUAAUAGAAUCCCACACUGAGUUCAUCUGAAACCUCCUAAGUUUUCCAAAUCGUGCCAAACCUCUUAUGAAACCUAACCAUGAAACUAAAAAUUAAAUGAUUGAAUGAAGGAAUCAAAGUCCCUAAGGUUAGAGAUUUGAUUCCUCCACCCCUAUGAUACAUGGUGGUAACAAGAAUGAAGCCAAAUGGUGAAGAAAAUGCACCUACCUUCCGGAGAAGAAGGCUGCUUAGAUCGGAUCAAAUGGAGAUAUAUGAACAAGUUCAGGUACGAAUCUUCGAUAUAAAUUCCUCCUUCUGCUACUCUAAUUCCUCUUCUUCUUAGCUUUGACUCUUCUUCUUCUUGCGUGCCUUGAGUUCCUUCUCCUUCCGUGUGCUCUGAGAGUGGAAGAGUGGAGUGUAGAGUGUGCGAUUGAGAGAAAGUUGAGGUGUAAGAUUUAGGGAGAAUUGAGAUUGAAAGAGAAUGCAUGAUUUUUGUUUUUUGAGCGAAUGAAAGGGUGAUAGAAAAUUGAAGGGUGAUGAACUAUUUAUAGGAGAGAGAUAGAUUUAACAAAUCAAACUCUAUAAAUUAUCAAAGUGGAAAGUUAGUUAGAGGUUCUAACUCUGUUAAUCAUUGAUAGUCAUGAUUUUCAGUUAGGGAUCAUUUUUCUGUUACACUCAAUUUUCUGCAGUUAAAUCACAAUGUUUUAUGUUAGUUGUAUUAGGUGUUAGUUAUUGUUAGUUAGUGAAUCAAAUAAGGAUUGGCUAUUGCAGGUGAUUUGUAUCAAAGUUAUGUGGAAUUGUGUUGAUGAUCUGCUGAACAUGUUGCAGGUUAUGUUUCAAUGUGUCUUGUUUGGAAAAUUGCAGGUUUUGCAAGUGACUGGUUGUGGUUUUGACUCAGUUGUAAUUUGUUAUUGUUAGAACUUAAGUUAAGUUAGGUCAGGUGGUGAUUGAUUAUAGUUCAACUGACUGCAACCGGUUUUGGUGUAAGGCAUGGCUUGUUUGGAAACUGCAAGUUGUAGGUGACCUGUUGGACUUGGUGAAAUCAGGCAUGGCAAGAAGCAAUAUUUGGUGCAAAAGUGAGGUUUUCUUGCUCAUGAAGAAAUUGAUCAUGGAAUCACAUGGAAGGAUGCAAUAGUGAAGAUUCAAUAUACAUUAGGGUUUAGGAGAUAAAAAAAUAGGUUUGUUGACUUUGGUGAACUGGUUGACCAAAAGUCAACUUUUGGCAAACAAUGUAUUUUUUUUUGUAUUUCUUUUGUAUGGACAAUGUAAAAUUACACUUGAAUGUAUGAAAAAGAUUUUUGAAUAGAAA